AGCAUGGGGCCUGCCUUUAUUAAUAUUUAUGAAUUACUAUUUCUCCCCCCUUGAACAUUGGCCUUUCUUCUUCCCUCAUGAAUAUUCAGAAGCUACAAGAUGCGCGCGUGCAGUAACUCCCAAUAUGGAUACCUCACAGGGCCUGACACUAGAUUCUGGAUUGAAAACAGACGGGUGGCUGAGUAGAUGGGCCGGCGGAUGCCCGCAGACACAAAGACCCCCUUGGACUUCCUGGAUUCCUCAUUUACUCUACGGGGCUGAGGUGGACAAUCUGCGAGGUGCCUGCCACCCCAGACCGGGCUCAGACCUCAAGCCAACAAUAAUCAAGGUUUUUACCACCCAAAGAUGCACAACGGGAGCUGGACCCAGGCUGAUAAAGCUGAGUUAGGUUUCAGGCCCAGGAGUACUUGACAUUACAGAAGAUCAUUCGCCAGGAGAUGUAAGGAAAGACCCUGGGGCCUUAUGAAAAUUUCUUUUGCAUCCAUUUAUCUGCCCACUAGGCAUAAGCCUGUGCUUUAGAGGCUGUUAAUACAAAGUCUAAUAAUUCAUGAAAGCAGACAACUAAAAGUGCAAGAACUGCAAGUAUGAAUGGAAGGCACCCAGAAGCGCAUGUCUGCGUGGAGAACCCCAAAAAGAUCCUUCUUGAAGAAGCCAGUUUUUCAUGACAUUCUGGAAAUGAGCUGCUGAAUCUUUAUUGAAAACCUAUGUCAAUCACAGUUCAGCAAAUAAAGAUGCUGCUUGGAGAUUUCUUCAUCCCUGGACGUCUUUAACAAAAGGUUCUUGGACUCUCAGAGCCAAACAAAAGCUCUGUGUGGUAUUUUGCCUGCAAUCAAACCUUACUGUCAGAAUUUGCUCACAUGUUAGGAGAAGUCUUACUCUGUGCCUCCCAUCCCCUAUCUUUCCCUGGCCUGCUGAGGCACACUUUAGAACGGAAACACAUCAAUAGGUCUAGGUCCUGGGGCCCAUUUUGGCCUUAGCCCUGCCCCUCCCGAACUGGAUUAUGGAGUGAGGUUUGAACUCAUCAGUGGCUUCUUCUUGUGCCCUCCAGGGAGCUAGGCAUCUUUCUUCAGCAGGAAGGAAGGAUGCUUCCCCCUCCCGCCUUCCACAGGACUACCUCCCACCACUUCCAUCCCCGCCCCGGGCUGCCUUUCACUGUGGCUGCCCGGUUGCCAUGCCAACAAGGUUCCCAUAGUUACUAAGAAGCGCUGCUGUGUUCCCAUAGGCAGUGCCCAUCUACCAAAAGGGAAAGGGAGACCAUUAUGCCCCCACGGCAAAAAAAGUGACUAACCGGGUCUCAGCCCAGGGGAUGUUGGAGGACGAUCUUGUUUAUCUUUGAUAACAGUGUCUAGGCUGGACCUCAGACCAAAUGCUGCUGCUUGCGCUCAAGUUCUCUGCUACCUAAACCUAGGGAGAAAGGCGGCUGGCACUAGUUCAAGACCAUUGUUUUGCCUAGUGUGGGGUCCAAAUAGACACCACAUUGUGUAGAUCGUGCUAAUAUGUAAAUGGACUAAUACAUCUGGGCUCUUUGUCUAGCUAGGAAAAUGGAAAAUGCAAAACAUGUUCUGUUCUCUCCUUUGGUUGGGUAUCUUGUCUGAGAACCCGCUUUUCUCCUUAUGGUGCUCCUCCCUGAAUUGAUUAUCCUAGGGCAUACCAUGUCAUUUAAAAAAAAAAAAAAGAAUUUUUUCCCCCUCACAUAUACAGAAAUGUGUUCUAAUAUAAAAUCCAAAAGUAAAGAAAAUAAGAAAAAAAUCAUUCACAGUUUGGAAACCAAAAUAUUUGUUUCUUUCUUUUAAAAUAGACAGUUUUUGUGGUCUUACAUAGUUGUAGAACAUCAUUUGUGAACUACAGUGUACUUUGUUCAGAUUCUUCUUGGUGAAUUUUCUCUCUGCUUUUAUUGGCUUCAAAUAAAAAAAUGGCAAUUCUCCCCAAAAACAAAGUUAUCUUCUGUGCCUGAAAGCAGGGCAUAAAUUUUUCUUUGAGGUAAGUGCUCUUUUCCCUGUAAUGAGAAAAAAAGAGACUCUUAUCUUUGAAGACGCAGUGCGUAUGCCAAGGUGAGUCUGCAUAAACAGACCUUACUAAAAUAGCCUUGGUUUUCCAUUAGCUCCCACGUGUAUCUCCCAGUCACUUCCCCACAAUUUUUGUCCCUCGAAUCCCAAAACCUCUUUCCUUUCUUAAAAGGGUAUUUAAGCCCCCAAGUCUAAUGCUUAUUUGAGCAUCACUUUUAUGCUGUGAUCUCCCCUGCACAUGAACAUUAAUAAAAAUUAAGGGCCUUUGCUCCUGUUAAUCUGUCUUAUGUCGUUUAAUUCACAGGCCCCUUGGUACUGAAUUUAAGAGAUCAGAGGAAAGGUUUUUCCAUCCUGACACACCCAUGUUCAUAGCAGCAUUAUUCACAAUAGACAAGGGGUGGAAACAACCCAAGUGUCCAUCAGCAGAUGAACUGAUAAACUGUGGUGUGUAUAUACAAUGGAAUAUUAUGAAGCCUUUAAAAGGAUGGAAAAUCUGACACAUGCUGUGACAUGGAUUAACCUUGCAGACAUUAUGCUAAGUGAAAUAAACCAGUCACAUACCUCAUAUUGAGUUAGGGCAGAGAUAUGGGACAAGCCAUCAUGAUUAAUUUUUCCUGCCUUUCAUGCAAAAUGCUGAGAUAUAAACAGUCUGAUAAAACAGGAGGCACUCCAUCUUAAGGCUACGAUUCCAUUUUAAAAGAAGAGUUUUGAAGUAAUAUUCCUAACAUAAUUAUUUGGUAAUCAGCCAACAACUGACUCUGUCUUAAGGCAGGGCAAGCAGUCCUCAUUGAUAUGUUCCCAGUGCUUGAGGGUAGCCACUAUUUUGGAGAAGAACAGGAUCAAUAAAUUCCUUGUGUUAAGUUUAUCUUACAGAAUUAUCUAGAGGACUGACUGGAUGGUGACAUGAUGGAGAGGAACAUCAUGAGACCACACGUCAAGCCUAGGCCACCGCCACCUCUGUCCUUUGCCCCUUUGAAAGCCUUAAAAGACAGAAUCCUAAGUUUCUGAGUGCACCUAUUCUCUGAGGCUGCCCACACCCUCCUUUCUCCAAGUGCGUACUUUUUGCCUUAAAUAAAGA